rnacentral:rRNA from 1 species
UACAGGGGGGGCAAGCGGUUGUUCGGAAUUACUGGGCGUAAAGGGCCAGUAGGGCGGCCAACUAAGUCACACGUGAAAUCCCAGGCUUAACCUGGGAACUGCGUGUGAUACUGGAUGGCUUGAAUUCGGGAGAGGAUGCAGAAUUCCAGGUGUAGCGGUGAAAUGCGUAGAUAUCUGGAGGAACACCGGUGGCGAAGGCGGAUCUCUGGCCAUUACUGACGCUGAGGAGCGAAAGCGUGGGAGCGAACGAGGA